rnacentral:rRNA from 1 species
UCCGUGGCUCGAGGACGACGCUGGCGGCGUGCCUAACACAUGCAAGUCGAACGGAGUCGGCCCCGCAAGGGACUGACUUAGUGGCGAACGGGUGAGUAACGCGUGAGCAACCUGCCUUUCAGUGGGGGACAACAGUUGGAAACGACUGCUAAUACCGCAUAAAGCAUUUUGACCGCAUGAUCGAGAUGCCAAAGAUUUAUUGCUGAAAGAUGGGCUCGCGUCUGAUUAGAUAGUUGGUGAGGUAACGGCCCACCAAGUCGACGAUCAGUAGCCGGACUGAGAGGUUGAACGGCCACAUUGGGACUGAGAUACGGCCCAGACUCCUACGGGAGGCAGCAGUGGGGAAUAUUGGGCAAUGGGGGAAACCCUGACCCAGCAACGCCGCGUGAAGGAAGAAGGCUUUCGGGUUGUAAACUUCUUUUACCAGGGACGAAGAAAGUGACGGUACCUGGAGAAAAAGCCACGGCUAACUACGUG